AUAGACCUGGCAUCACUGAUGCUAAAAUAAUUCAUUCAUAUACCUGUCAAAAGCAUUAUUUUUCACUUGCAAGAGGGAUGACGAUGGUAACAUUAGGAACCUGGCACAUACAUUGAUCAAACGGCUCUGGAUAGAAAACACGGUGGCAUAUGUGUUUAGGACAUGAGUUGUGCGGCCGAGGCGUUAGUGAACUGGCUCAAAUAACUUCACCAGAAACUCCUGCUUUUAGUAAUGUGAAAUGGAUUCUCGUAUUGCUACCAAGUACAAAACUGGGUAACUUGAGCAAUUGACCCUCGGCAUGUUUCGUGGCAAGUGUUGCUCAGAGUCUACGCGUUUAUCAAACAGCAAUCGAUGCUCGGACACUAGCGGAGAUAUCCAGUUCCAAACGCAGGAACUCGUAAAAAUAGUCUCGCAACAGUUUACGGCCCGACCAGGAUGCUUCAGCUAGAUACAAUUGACAAUGUCACGCAUGACUAGUAGAAUACUAAAUUACUGCUUAUUUUCUAAAAACGGCUGACUACUGUUGAGCGUUCUGAGAAACAGAUGAUAAUACGCUGUGAUAAUAAACACUGGCUUAAUUGUAGGGCAGAUGGCAGAAUUCCCCGUUUACAGAUUCAUUCUAUUUGGUCGUUUUGAGAUGCACAGCAAACGGAACGAUGAACGUUGCGAAUUGUGAUUGCUUUACAACCUACGGCAUGGGAUGAAAUGAGCAGUAAUUUGAGGAAUGUCCCAGAUAGUAUCUUGGUACAUAAUUUAUAUGAUCCAGGCUGCUACGUUCACCGAGCUGGAAUGCAUGGUGUGAGAAAAAACAACAGCGACCACAUCAACGACUAACGUUCGUGCUCAAGAGUUGCCAUUUCCAGUGGACGUCGAUGUGUUACAUGCCGCUUCAGCAGCUCAGCAUCUCAGCUCUUCGUCUAUUGAUACAGUUAGUUUUGCGUCUUACGUAUAAUUAACUAGCUGAUACCCAUCGCGCGUUGCUGCGACUUUCAUCAAAAUAGGAGGAAAACACAAUUUGUUCCGAAGCGCCAUCUGGCGGGCAAAUAAUCCCCAAUCAAUAGCACACAAACACGCUCCAUAACAAAUGCCUACUAUGUAGAAUUUGUAACGUCAAUCGAUCAAGCCGUUUGGGAGUCCAUAAAUCAUAUACAUACAAGCAUUGACUUUUAUAUAUAUAGAUAGAUAUAGAUAGAUAGAUAUAGAUAGAUAGAUUGAAUCAACUAUUUGUUUCUAAAAAUGUAAUGUUACUGAUAGUUUUGUGUAUAAUUGUCUCAUGGAGCAAAAAUGCGAGUAACGGCGGUGCUCAUGAGUUCUGCCUAUGGGAAAGAAUUGCUUUCAUGUACAGUAUGGGAAGUCCCGCCUGGGCCAGGCGGCAUGACCAACGAAGUCGGUUUAAGACAACGUAGAUUGGUGUUUCUUUUCAAAAACAUGUAACAGAACUUAUAUGCAAUGUUGAAUAAAAUUUAGUUGGGAAUUCAAUGCCCUAAU